AUGAACGCUGGCGGCGUGCCUAAUACAUGCAAGUCGAGCGAACAGACGAGGAGCUUGCUCCUCUGACGUUAGCGGCGGACGGGUGAGUAACACGUGGAUAACCUACCUAUAAGACUGGGAUAACUUCGGGAAACCGGAGCUAAUACCGGAUAAUAUAUUGAACCGCACGGUUCAAUAGUGAAAGACGGUUUUGCUGUCACUUAUAGAUGGAUCCGCGCCGCAUUAGCUAGUUGGUAAGGUAACGGCUUACCAAGGCAACGAUGCGUAGCCGACCUGAGAGGGUGAUCGGCCACACUGGAACUGAGACACGGUCCAGACUCCUACGGGAGGCAGCAGUAGGGAAUCUUCCGCAAUGGGCGAAAGCCUGACGGAGCAACGCCGCGUGAGUGAUGAAGGUCUUCGGAUCGUAAAACUCUGUUAUUAGGGAAGAACAAAUGUGUAAGUAACUAUGCACGUCUUGACGGUACCUAAUCAGAAAGCCACGGCUAACUACGUG
rnacentral:rRNA from 1 species